UAUCUCCAUCUUACAAAUCUUACUCAUUCAUUUGAUAGCUAGAGCCAUCAUCCUGUAUAUAGACUCAAAAAGAAUGGAAUGGGCCUUGUCUUUUCCAUCUUUCUCCAUGAUACGAAUUUACGGACUAGUGUGCUUGUCACUUUCCACUCGCUAAUCUCUAGCACGUGGAAUGCAACCGCACAGGGAAACGAGGAUGUAAAGCACCAAGCAAAAGCAAUGCAGUGGAAUACGAAAACGGUGUGUGUAACGACAUAAAAAAAAUCUCAUUCUUAUCAGUAAUGAUUAGAUAGUGUCUUGUUCUUUGUCUUUGUUUUUGCUUCUUGACUUGCCCGAUAUACUUGUAUUAAAAAUAUACUCCAUAGUACCGGAUUUUACGCAUUGCUGGGAUGUAAUAAAUGUGUGAUAUUAUU